GGACUACUAGGGUAUCUAAUCCUGUUUGCUCCCCACGCUCUCGCGCCUCAGCGUCAGUGUCAGUCCAGGUAGCCGCCUUCGCCACUGGUGUUCCUUCCGAUAUCUACGCAUUUCACCGCUACACCGGAAAUUCCACUACCCUCUACUGCACUCUAGCAAAUCAGUAUCGGAUGCAGUUCCUAGGUUGAGCCCAGGGAUUUCACAUCCGACUUAAUUCACCGCCUACGCGCCCUUUACGCCCAGUAAUUCCGAUUAACGCUUGCACCCUCUGUAUUACCGCGGCUGCUGGCAC
rnacentral:rRNA from 1 species